UAUACGACCGCAAAAAUUGAAAAUUUUUUGUUCGUAUAUUUGUAUGACGUUGGCGUCGUCGUCGUCGUCGUUGUCGUCGUCGUCGUCGUCGUCCGGCGUCGUCCGGCGUCGUCCGAAGACACAUUGGUUUUCGCACUCUAACUUUAGUUUAAGUAAAUGGAUCUCCAUGAAAUUUUACCAUAAGGUUCAAUACCAUGAAAGGAAGGUUGGGAUUGAUUUUGGGGGUUAUGGUACCAACAGUUAAGGAAUUAGGGGCCAAAAAGGGGCCAACAAUAAGCAUUUUUGUAACUUCCAGACAAUAACUUGUGUGUAAGUGUAUGGAUCUCUCUGACAUUGUACCACAAGGUUCCAUAUCUCAAAGGAAAGGCUGGGAUUGAGUUUGGGGGUAAUUGCCCCAAAUGUUUAGAAAUUAGGGGCAAAAAAGGGGCCAAAAACAAGCAUUUUUCUAGUUUCCAGACAAUAACUUGUGUUAAAGUUUAUGACACUCUCUGAAAUUGUACAUUUUUCCUGAAAAGAAAAUAAUCUUCAAAAUUUCAAU